UACGAAGGGGGCUAGCGUUGUUCGGAAUUACUGGGCGUAAAGCGUGCGCAGGCGGCUUCUCAAGUCAGGGGUGAAAGCCCAGAGCUCAACUCCAGAACUGCCUUUGAUACUGAGGAUCUUGAGUUCGGGAGAGGUGAGUGGAACUGCGAGUGUAGAGGUGAAAUUCGUAGAUAUUCGCAAGAACACCAGUGGCGAAGGCGGCUCACUGGCCCGAUACUGACGCUGAGGUGCGAAAGCGUGGGGAGCAAACAGG
rnacentral:rRNA from 1 species